CCCAGCUGGAGUCAGACACGCGAUAAUAUAAUUCUCAUCCAGCGAAGCGAAAAUGCCUUGGUCGUGGUGGGAUCUAUUUGCACACAAACCUUGCAAAUUCUUUGUAUUCGCAUUUCUUGGUCUUGUGAAAAUCUCAGCCUUAUUUCCAUAUCUUAAUCUCAACAACCUUCCUCCUCCUGCCGCUGCUGCCAGUCCGAAUGAGAGAGAAUUUAUCCGGGAUGUCCAACUACUUUUGGAGCACAACCAGAAUUUCUACAUCAAAUACGGAAGUUCGGACCAUUUAAUAAAUUUAAAGUUUUUCGAAGCGAGAGACGCCGCAGAAGGAAUUUUCAACCGUCCGGAUCUUUUCGCCGAGAAAGUAAACUCUUUACAAAAGCUCAUUAAUGCAAAAGUUGCAACUUUUGGAACAACUUUGGGAGGAGAUGGACACGUUAAAUUGGCCCAGUCGGGAUCUUCUCUCAGCAGUAGAGCGAACACAAGAAUCAAGGAUGAAACGAUGCUUCUCCUGCUGGCAAGUACAGUCGGAGGAUUUGUACAGUUUCAGGAUUAAGUAAUACAUAGAAAAUUUCUAUUAGAAAUGUGUCAAUAAAUAAAGUACAGAUAAAUGAACAUGUUGUCUGAUACACGUUUCAUUCAUGGUGUCCACAAUACAAGUCUGAUUUACUUCCUGGAUUGAAUAUGACGCAUACUUUUAGAAAUCAGAAAUUUUGUUGUGGCCAAAUUUCCUCCAAAGUUUGACGUACAGGCGGACUGUAACAUGAACCUGGAAAAAAUCACGUAGCAGCAGAGUUUACGGCUUAAUGAAAUCAGUAUCCUUCUGUACAUUCCUGAUUUGCAUGCGCUUUGUGGCUGACCAAACCAAUAAACCAAACAAAACCACUGCUAAAAGGGCAUGCCAAAUAAUAUCGCGCAGUCAUAAAGAAAUAUUAUGCUCGAUUGAAUUAAGAAAUUUGUUAUUUGUUUAUAAUUAAGUUACACGGAACUCAUCAAUUGAGGAUAAACAACGCUUCGUCAUCCACCAAGCCGUGCUCCAUAUUUCCAUUCUUCAAUCAAGCAGCCAUUGUUACGAUUGGAUAUCGCACUGCUAAAUAAUUCUUUCGUACGACGAACUCUCUCUGAUUCUCAGGUCCCUUUAUAACGUGCAGCCCUGGUUCCAACUUUCAAAAUGAGGUACAUUCUUGCCCCCUUUGUCGCAACUUUGUUGGUCUGGUUGAUCUCUGCUGUGGGGGCCGUGGGGCCGGAUAACUUCCAAGUCUCCCCCGCAUACACGACGACUCCGGCGUCCACAGUUUCGCCUUCGUCGACCCCCAUGACGAGUGAGAAGAUUGGCGAACAUGACCAACUCAUCGAUGAUCUGGACGACGAGAAAAAACGAUUCGACCAAAAGUACCUGGACUGUGAUGAUGGUCUGAAGAAGAUCGUGGCUGAAAUUGAGGCUGGAAUCCGCACCCACGAUCAUGACAAGGCCAAAAAGAUGUUGGAUGAGAUGAAGGUGUACAAGUCGAACGAUGUCACUGACGAUCCAUGCCAUCCUCCUGCCCCCGGGAAAGAGGGGAAAGCUGCCUCAAAGUCGGGAACGGAGGACAAAAAUAAGUCUGAUCAGGACAAGGAUAAGAAAAAUGGGAAAAAUAGUGGAAAUAAAACUUCGCUAAACUGGGGAUUCGUGGCGUUGCUCUCGUUCGUGUCCAUGAUUGGAGGAAAAUAACUCUGCUGUAAUUUCUUGCCUGGGAAUUACUUUUACAAGAAAUAUGAAAACCGGUCUUAAACAUUUCAUCUGGGGGGAAAAUGUGGUCGUGUUUUGUCCAUCAAGUGACGUUGUCCCAUCUCCAAUUUUCAAGUCACCUUCGUCUGCACCGACAUUCAUUUGGAACAGAAUUGUGACAUAUGUCAUCAAACUGGAAAUCACCUGAACAAGUGAUGAUUUGUGUAAUUAAUUAUGCAAACAAAUAGAAUAAUGCAUUAUAAAUAAUUUUAAUUGCAAUUCAUCAAUAUGUAUUUGCGCACCCCU